rnacentral:miRNA from 1 species
UGUGUUUUAAUCUUUUACUAUCAAUUUUAACCAUCUUUAAAACAUUUUAAAGAUGGUUAAAACUGAUAGUAAAAGAUUAAAUCACU